UCCGGGAAACCGGGGCUAAUACCGGUGGUUGUUUGAACCGCAUGGUUCAAACAUAAAAGGUGGCUUCGGCUACCACUUACAGAUGGACCCGCGGCGCAUUAGCUAGUUGGUGAGGUAAUCGGCUCACCAAGGCAACGAUGCGUAGCCGACCUGAGAGGGUGAUCGGCCACACUGGGACUGAGACACGGCCCAGACUCCUACGGGAGGCAGCAGUAGGGAAUCUUCCGCAAUGGACGAAAGUCUGACGGAGCAACGCCGCGUGAGUGAUGAAGGUUUUCGGAUCGUAAAGCUCUGUUGUUAGGGAAGAACAAGUACCGUUCGAAUAGGGCGGUACCUUGACGGUACCUAACCAGAAAGCCACGGCUAACUACGUGCCAGCAG
rnacentral:rRNA from 1 species